UACGGAGGGUGCGAGCGUUGUCCGGAAUCACUGGGCGUAAAGGGCGCGUAGGUGGCUGGGGAAGUCGGCGGUGAAAGCCCGGAGCUCAACUCCGGGUCGGCCGUCGAGACUCCUCGGCUCGAGCUCACUAGAGGCAGAUGGAAUUCCGGGUGUAGCGGUGGAAUGCGUAGAGAUCCGGAAGAACACCGGUGGCGAAGGCGGCCCCCCUGGGCCGGCCCCUGACACUGAGACGCGAAGGCGUGGGGAGCGAACGGG
rnacentral:rRNA from 1 species